CUUAUGUGUGGUGUGUUCACUGAUUCUCAUAAUCAGCAGAUUCCUCUGUGAAUCUCAGACAUUUUCUUGAAUACAGUGCUGGUUUAGUUUGCAUGAGUUUGAUUAUUUCUUUUAUAGCAGCCACUAUGUCUACACUGUAAAAUGUAAUAGUAUAUCUUACUCUAAAAGAAAAUUCACCUUAACUCAUUCUAGCUUACUCUGUUGACUAUACUAACUUAAAAUUAGCAAAGACAACUUUUUACUGAGGCAAGUUAUCAAACUCAUCAGCACCAAGUAACCCGAACUUGGAGUUAUGAGUGAGCAAGUCGCAUCUGCAUAACCAGCAGAAAACUCCGCAUCAUUCGGCAGCUCUCGUUGAACGCACAUGCGCAGUUAAAGAAGUACCAAACUGUCAACAAUACGGCGGUUGCUGCAGCCAAGUUUUGUCAAGAUUCUGGCAGGGUUCUGUCGCUUGUUGAUCAAAAACCUGGAUUCAAAAUUGUUCACACAACUUGACAAAUGCACCCCUCGCUUCUUUGAGAUUUUCAAGAGCAAGGGGGGAAGUGUUGGCCAGAAACCUCAGAUGUAUCUGUAACAAGUCAGACCCGAAGAGUACAGAUUUUAGUGCGACGCGAACAGCAGUGCUCCGUGGCCUUCCUGUGAUCCUUGGAGAUGGGAACACAGACUUCAAGACAUGAUUUGAUUGCGAAGACCCAGACAUGUCUUACACCCCCAUUGGGAUCCUGGCCAUCAUUCCUGAGGACAGGCAGGCCUCCCCUGACUCCCUGCACCUUGAGUCUUCAUCCAUCAUUUUGGAAGGAAGUCUUGUCAUAAAUGACCUUGGAAAUCUUCCACAUGCUAUGUGCUUGCUGUUUGAACUUAUUUAUGCUUUGAAUUUGGAGUACACUCAACAAGUACACCUUUGAUUUCAUCCAAAGGGUGUUUCUCUCACUUGGACAUAAAUCCCUAAAACCAAAAAUACAAUCAUUCAAAAAUAUUCUGAUGCAAUGAGUGAAUGUGAUGUGACAUUAUGGAUCAACGUUGAUACCUUUACCCUUAUUGUAAAAGUGAUUUUUAUUUCUUGUUUGAUUCUCUUUGAAUUGUUUCGAUUCAUUUUGAAGCCUGAGGGUCAUUUGAAGGAUUCAAUAUGAGAUUGAAGGCUGCCCUAGAAAAAACGUUUAUGGAAAACUUUGUUUCCAGGUUAGUGUGUCUGUAACCACACUUGAGAAC